ACUGCAUGCCUUAGUACGGCGAGUGAAGCGGCAAAAGCUCAAAUUUGAAAUCUGGCACCUUCGGUGUCCGAGUUGUAAUUUGAAGAAGGUAACUUUGGAGUUGGCUCUUGUCUAUGUUCCUUGGAACAGGACGUCACAGAGGGUGAGAAUCCCGUGCGAUGAGAUGCCCAAUUCUAUGUAAAGUGCUUUCGAAGAGUCGAGUUGUUUGGGAAU
rnacentral:rRNA from 1 species